GAUGAACGCUGGCGGCGUGCCUAAUACAUGCAAGUCGAGCGAACAGACGAGGAGCUUGCUCCUCUGACGUUAGCGGCGGACGGGUGAGUAACACGUGGAUAACCUACCUAUAAGACUGGGAUAACUUCGGGAAACCGGAGCUAAUACCGGAUAAUAUAUUGAACCGCAUGGUUCAAUAGUGAAAGACGGUUUUGCUGUCACUUAUAGAUGGAUCCGCGCCGCAUUAGCUAGUUGGUAAGGUAACGGCUUACCAAGGCAACGAUGCGUAGCCGACCUGAGAGGGUGAUCGGCCACACUGGAACUGAGACACGGUCCAGACUCCUACGGGAGGCAGCAGAAGGGGAUCUUCCGCAAUGGGCGAAAGCCUGACGGAGCAACGCCGCGUGAGUGAUGAAGGUCUUCGGAUCGUAAAACUCUGUUAUUAGGGAAGAACAAAUGUGUAAGUAACUAUGCACGUCUUGACGGUACCUAAUCAGAAAGCCACGGCUAACUACGUG
rnacentral:rRNA from 1 species